CGCGUGGGUAAUCUACCCAGAAGUGGGGGAUAGCUUCGGGAAACCGGGGGUAAUACCGCAUAUGUCCCAGACGACGCGAGUUGAUUGGGGCAAAGGCGGGGCUCUUCGGACCUGUCGCUUCUGGAUGAGCCCGCGUCCGAUUAGCUAGUUGGUGAGGUAAUGGCUCACCAAGGCAUCGAUCGGUAGCCGGCCUGAGAGGGUGAUCGGCCACAUUGGGACUGAGACACGGCCCAG
rnacentral:rRNA from 1 species